rnacentral:rRNA from 1 species
GAUGAACGCUGGCGGCGUGCCUAAUACAUGCAAGUCGAGCGAACGGACGAGAAGCUUGCUUCUCUGAUGUUAGCGGCGGACGGGUGAGUGACACGUGGAUAACCUACCUAUAAGACUGGGAUAACUUCGGGAAACCGGAGCUAAUACCGGAUAAUAUUUUGAACCGCAUGGUUCAAAAGUGAAAGACGGUCUUGCUGUCACUUAUAGAUGGAUCCGCGCUGCAUUAGCUAGUUGGUAAGGUAACGGCUUACCAAGGCAACGAUGCAUAGCCGACCUGAGAGGGUGAUCGGCCACACUGGAACUGAGACACGGUCCAGACUCCUACGGGAGGCAGCAGUAAGGAAUCUUCCGCAAUGGGCGAAAGCCUGACGGAGCAACGCCGCGUGAGUGAUGAAGGUCUUCGGAUCGUAAAACUCUGUUAUUAGGGAAGAACAUAUGUGUAAGUAACUGUGCACAUCUUGACGGUACCUAAUCAGAAAGCCACGGCUAACUACGUG